UAUUAGUUUUGUAAUUAAAAACUAUAAUUCUUUAAAUAAGGAUAAAAUUGUAAUUUGAAAUUAUUUACUCCCAAUCCAAGACAAAGUAAACACAUAAAUUGGAUUCUGAUCUCUAAUCCAUACUUCCAUUCCAGUGUAAGUAAACAACCUACUCCCACUCCCACUCCACACUCCCAAUCCUAGGAUUCCCACUCCUCAGGAUUCCCAAUCCAAUUCAAAAAGUAAACGCUACCUAAGUGAUUGAUAAAUUUUAUUUUCAAAAGUAAUGUUGAAAACAAUUAUGACGUUUGGUAAAUUUUAUUGUUAAACUACUGAGAGCAAAC
rnacentral:lncRNA from 1 species